CAGUCGCCGCGGGAAUACGUAGGUGGCAAGCGUUGUCCGGAAUUAUUGGGCGUAAAGGGCUCGCAGGCGGUUUCUUAGUCUGAUGUGAAAGCCCCCAGCUCAACCGGGGAGGGUCAUUGGAAACUGGGAAACUUGAGUGCAGAAGAGGAGCGUGGAAUUCCACGUGUAGCGGUGGAAUGCGUAGAGAUGUGGAGGAACACCAGUGGCGAAGGCGGCUCACUGGACCGACACUGACGCUGAGGCGCGAAAGCGUGGGGAGCAAACAGGAUUAGAUACCCGGGUAGUCCCUGUCUCUUAUACA
rnacentral:rRNA from 1 species